rnacentral:rRNA from 1 species
UGGGGAAUAUUGCACAAUGGAGGGUACUCUGAUGCAGCGACGCCGCGUGAACGAAGAAGGCUUUCGAGUCGUAAAGUUCUUUUAUAUGGGAAGAUAAUGACGGUACCAUAAGAAAAAGCCCCGGCUAACUACGUGCCAGCAGCCGCGGUAAUACGUAGGGGGCUAGCGUUGUCCGGUAUCACUGGGCGUAAAGGGUUCGCAGGCGGAAAUGCAAGUCAGGUGUAAAAGGCAGUAGCUUAACUACUGUAAGCAUUUGAAACUGCAUAUCUUGAGAAGAGUAGAGGUAAGUGGAAUUUUUAGUGUAGCGGUGAAAUGCGUAGAUAUUAAAAAGAAUACCGGUGGCGAAGGCGACUUACUGGGCUCAUUCUGACGCUGAGGAACGAAAGCGUGGGUAGCAAACAGG